GGCCAGCAGCCGCGGUAAUACGGAGGGUGCAAGCUUUCUCCGGAUUUAUUGGGUUUAAAGGGUGCGCAGGCGGACCAAUUAGUCAGGGGUGAAAUCCCGGGGCUCAACCCCGGAACUGCCUUUGAUACUGUUGGUCUUGAGUUCGGAAGGGAGAGGCGGAAUUCCAGGUGUAGUGGUGAAAUACGUAGAUAUCUGGAAGAACACCAGAGGCGAAGGCGGUCUCUUGGUCCGAAACUGACGCUGAGGCGCGAAAGCGUGGGGAGCAAACAGGAUUAGAUA
rnacentral:rRNA from 1 species